rnacentral:rRNA from 1 species
CUACGGGUGGCUGCAGUGAGGAAUAUUGCACAAUGGGGGGAACCCUGAUGCAGCAACGCCGCGUGGAGGAUGACGCAUUUCGGUGUGUAAACCCCUUUUAUAUGUCAAGAAAAUGACGGUAGCAUAUGAAUAAGCACCGGCUAACUCCGUGCCAGCAGCCGCGGUAAUACGGAGGGUGCAAGCGUUACUCGGAAUCACUGGGCGUAAAGGACGGUAGGCGGGUUGGAAAGUCAGGUGUGAAAUCCUACAGCUUAACUGUAGAACUGCACUUGAAACUUCUAAUCUAGAGUAUGGGAGGGGGAGAUGGAAUUAGUGGUGUAGGGGUAAAAUCCGUAGAUAUCACUAGGAAUACCUAAAGCGAAGGCGAUCUCCUGGAACAUUACUGACGCUAAGGCGUGAAAGCGUGGGGAGCAAACAGGAUUAGAUCCCGAGUAGUC